rnacentral:lncRNA from 1 species
GGAGCUUGGAUUUAUCUCUAUAUCAGAAAGAAUCUGAUUUAAAACUUCAUUUACUACUUCCUCUUCAGAAGAAGAGGCCUGUGACGAUAAUGGCACUAACUGAUAAUUGCCAAUGGGAUUACUCAGAAUCGCUAAGAACAGCCAUAUCCAGGUUAUAAGCUCAGAAAAACACAAAUGAUGUAUAAGAUUAUAGAACUAGCAUUAAUGCCUCAAAAGAAAUCCGGCCUGGACAGCAUUUGGUGGAAAUUCAAUUGAAAAACAUAAAACCUAGUUUAUGGCAGGAGGGUCAUUGAAAAUAUUUUGUAAAAUUUUAUAAACAUACAAAAUAGCUGCUUCAUUCAAACUACAUAACAUAAUUCAACUGAAGAAAGUAUUUACAAUUAAACUGAACACAUACCACUCAGAGUCCAAAUAUAAGGCUUCAUAAUUUGGUUGGCUUAACUCGUCUGAGCUCAACAGAUAGCACCGCACGUAUUUACUAGAUAUUAACCUAAGUUAACCUUCACUUACAAUCUCAAACUCUUAUAAAAUGAAUUAAAAACAUAUUUCACAAAAUUAAUAAUCUUGCAAUGUCACUCUGACUCACACAAAUUCUUGUAGACCAAAAUGGCCCCAAUAUGAAUUACUGGAUGCAAAAAAGCAGGGAAAUAUGAAAAACUUACAAUUUGAUGACGAUUUCUGCACCUUUGGAGCGGAUAAAGCAUAUGCCCAUGAAGAAGUUUAUUGAAAUUCAAUAUUCUCCUGACAUAUAUUGGUCUUCUGAUUCCACUCCGAUUCCAAGAAGUUGAAGUUGUUAAGAUUGCCGAAACGCUCACCUUUAAUUCCCGUUGUGGAAUUUGUUUCAUACGCUUUGAAGCGGAGAGCAUUUUCGCGGGGUUGCUAGAAAUUGUAUUCGGUUCUUCUUGGGUAUAGGGUUUAAGGAACCCAAAUGAAGCUGGAACUAGGGUUCCGAUUUCGGGGUAGCGGUGUUUUUCCCCUGGUGUGAUGGGCCUUUCGGUGGUCACUUCAUACUCGCUUUUUCUGUAAACCUGCUUGAUUCUUCUUGCUCCAGGGGAGAGGGGCUUGUAUAAGGUUGUGUUUGGCUGAACUUCCAAACUACCAAUUCCGCUGUUUGGU